AAUCUUAGACAAUGAGCGAAAGCUUGAUCUAGCUAUAUCGCGUGAAUGAAAGAAGGUCGUUGUAGAUCGUAAAGUUCUUCAGUAAAACGUAGAUUAUGACAAGGUUUUACUAUUAGGCCCGGCUAACACUCGUGCCAGCAGCCGCGGUAAUACGAGGGGGUCAAGUGCUAUUCGGAAUGACUGGGUGUAAAGGGUCUGUAGGCUGUUUGUAGUAAUUUAUGUGCAAGCCCAAAGCGUUCCUUUGGGAAAAUGUAGAGGAUCUGCAGACUUGAGUUAGGUAGGAGUUGGUGGAAUAUUGUCAGGAGGGAUGAAAUCCUAUGAUAGACAAUGGAAGGCCGAAAGCGAAGGCAACCUUCUAUGCCUUAAACUGACGCUAAGAGACGAAAGCGUGGGGAGCAAAUGGGAUUAGAGACCCCGGUAGUCCACUGCUGUAAACGAUGUGCAUUAACGAUUGUGGUUGAAUUUUUAUCCUUCUGUGACGUUAAGCUAACGCGCUAAAUGCACCACCUGGGGAGUACGAUCGCAAGGUUGAAACUCAAAGGAAUUGACGGGGACCCAAACAAGUGGUGGAUCAUCCUGUUUAAUCCGAUGAUACGCGUAUAACCUUACCAAUCCUUGAAUCAGUAGCUUUUGUGGACACUCAAGCAGUUUUCCUUUUGGAGAGGAAAAGAUGAGCGUAAUGCUCAUAUUUGACAGGCGUUGCAUGGCUGCCGUCAGGUCGUGUUGUGAGACGUGUGGUUAAUUCCCGUAACGACCGAAACCCUUACAAGUUUUAUCCAUGUGAAAUAUCAUUUGGCUCAAACUUAGACUAACUUCUAUAUGUUGGAUGAAGGAGAGGAUCACGUCAAGUCGUCAUGGCCCCGAUGGAUUGGGCUACAAGGAUGAUACAUUGGCAAGUACAAUGGGAAGCAAUGAUGUGAGUCGGAGCGAAACCUAAAAGCUUGUCUUAGUCCGGAUUAAUCUCUGCAACUCGAGAUUAUGAAGAUGGAAUCACUAGUAAUCAUAGAUCAUCACGCUAUGGUGAAAUUUGUUCCUGGGUCUUGUACACACCGCCCAUCACACUCAGGGAAUUGAGGAGACCCAAAGAGGGUACUUUUUCCAGUUUAUCAAAAGGUUUUCAUUUUGAAAUUUCAAUAAAUACUUUGAAAAGCGC
rnacentral:rRNA from 1 species